rnacentral:rRNA from 1 species
GUGCAGCAGGCGAGAAACCUCCCCAAUGCCCGAAAGGGUGAGGGGGUCACCCCGAGUGCCACCCUCGUGGUGGCUUUUGCGGGGUCUAAAAGCCCCGCGAAUAAGGGGAGGGCAAGACGGGUGUCAGCCGCCGCGGUAAUACCCGCUCCCCGAGUGGUGGGGACUAUUACUGGGCUUAAAGCGUCCGUAGCCGGCUGGGUGUGUCCCCCGUUAAAUCCACGGGCCUAACCCGUGGGCUGCGGGGGAUACUACCUGGCUUGGGGGUGGGAGAGGGCGGCGGUAUUCCCGGGGUAGGGGUAAAAUCCUCUGAUCCCGGGAGGACCACCAGUGGCGUAGGCGGCCGCCCAGAACACGCCCGACGGUGAGGGACGAAAGCUGGGGGAGC